rnacentral:lncRNA from 1 species
UUUACGACGCUGGGGCAGAUGCCCUCAGAACGUACGGAAGCGUCAUGGUGGAUAAACUAGCGAACUAUGAGCCAUGGUUCUUGAUCGGGAGGUCGGGGCGUGGACCACUCACCGGGAACUUCAGCAGUUCUCAGGGGUUCACAACUCUCGUAGAAGGCACCAUGACGCUGCCGCCGUCACUACAGAACGACGUUAAUAAAGUCAUGUCCGCU